AGGACGAACGCUGGCGGCGUGCUUAACACAUGCAAGUCGAGCGGAAAGGCCCUUCGGGGUACUCGAGCGGCGAACGGGUGAGUAACACGUGAGCAACCUGCCCUUAGCUUCGGGAUAGCUCCGGGAAACCGGAAUUAAUACCGGAUAUGACUAUGGCCGACAUCAGCCAUGGUGGAAAGUUUUUCGGCUAGGGAUGGACUCGCGGCCUAUCAGCUAGUUGGUGAGGUAACGGCUCACCAAGGCGACGACGGGUAGCCGGCCUGAGAGGGCGACCGGCCACACUGGGACUGAGACACGGCCCAGACUCCUACGGGAGGCAGCAGUGGGGAAUAUUGCGCAAUGGGCGAAAGCCUGACGCAGCGACGCCGCGUGGGGAUGAAUGCUUUCGGGUUGUAAACCCCUUUCAGCAGGGACGAAGCGAAAGUGACGGUACCUGCAGAAGAAGCGCCGGCUAACUACGUGCCAGCAGCCGC
rnacentral:rRNA from 1 species